rnacentral:rRNA from 1 species
UACGAAGGGGGCGAGCGUUGUUCGGAUUUACUGGGCGUAAAGGGCGCGUAGGCGGCCCUCCUAGUCGCGUGUGAAAGCCCCGGGCUCAACCUGGGAAUUGCGCGCGAAACGGGGGGGCUUGAGUUCGGGGAGAGGAGAGUGGAAUUCCUGGUGUAGCGGUGAAAUGCGCAGAUAUCAGGAAGAACACCCGUGGCGAAAGCGGCUUCCUGGUCCAGCACCGACGUUCAGGCACGAAAGCGUGGGGAGCAAACAGG